AGGUCCUCUGUUCCAGACUUACCAUCGGCUGCCGUCGUCGCUUCUCCUGCGACAAUUCUACUCUCGGAGGAUUGCUUUACAUUGCAUCUUUUAGCCAACUCAAGCUUUUCAUCAGGUCUGAUUGCAGUGGCAGCUAGCGUCAUCAGGUCCUUUAUAGGAAACUUACCAACGGUGGCAGUGGUUGCUUCUCCUGCGACAAUUCUACUCUCAGAGGUUGUAGGCAACUCCAUGGAAUAAGAUAGACGCGUUUCAUCAGGUCUGAUUGCAGUGGGAGCUAGCUUCAUCAGAUCCUUUGUCGGAGACUUACCAACGGUGGCCGUGGUUGCUUCUCCUGCGACAAUUCUACUCUCAGAGGAUUUCUUUCCAUUGCUUAUUGUAGACAACUCCAUGGAAUAAGAUAGAUGCGUUUCAUCAGGUCUGAUUGCAGUGGCAGCUAGCUUCGUGAGGUCCUUUGUCGGAGACUUACCAACGGUUGCCGUCGUUGGUUCUCGUGGGACAAUUCUUCUCUCAGAGGAUCGAUUUACAUUGCAUAUUGUAGACAACUCCAUGGAAUAAGAUAGAUGCAUUUCAUCAGGUCUGAUUGCAGUGGCAGCUAGCUUCAUCAGGUCCUUUGUCGGAGACUUACCAACGGUGGCCGUCGUUGGUUCUCGUGGGACAAUUCUUCUCUCAGAGGAUCGCUUUACAUUGCAUAUUGUAGACAACUCCAUGGAAUA
rnacentral:lncRNA from 1 species